rnacentral:lncRNA from 1 species
GUAUAUGCUACCAAACAUUACAUUAUCAUGCAUUUUCUAGUAUUGUAGUUGGUUUGUAGCUGACUGCCUAAGAACCGGUAAAAGAACCCUGGAAACGACUCUAGAAACUAACCCAACAGCAGUCUAGUCAGUUAUGGUGAUAUGCAUUUGAGUUCAUUGUAUGACUCUUGCUACUUGGUUCUGACUCUAAGCAUGCAUUGGAAACAAAAUACCAUAUUUGCUCGGUCAUCAGCUUAAAUUGGGUACCCUGAAUCACAAUCUUUAACAUAAAUGAGCGAUGCAAUGCGUCCAUUGUGUGUCGGCACCUUAAAUUCCCAACAAGGUCAGUCACGUAACAUAUAUAUUAGAGCCAUACUUCCAGUGUUGGAAACAUAAUGAUGCUAGUAUCAAUCAAAAACAAAAUCCAGACAGAUUAAAUCACCAUAUAAAACAUGUAUAACCAAACUCAGGUCCUUACAAUUAUAGAUAUACAAACAUAAUCUUUUCAAAUAUCCAAUUUUCACAAAACAAAUACAAUUUAACUCACAAAGACACUCGAAAAUUAGGUUUUAGCUUAGGAAGAUACAUCUAAUUCUAUAACCUGAAGACAGAUAUGCACUGAAGAACAGCAUAUAACAAAGCUAUACACAAACAAAAUAAAACAAACCUCUUCAAGCUCAGUGUAAACUCUUCAAGUUCAGUGGAACCUCUUCAAGCCUCCAAACCUCCAAAUCUGUUCAAUAAUGAAAAACCCCAAAAUUAGUGAAAACAAACUCAAUCGAAAUAAACCUAAUUACAAAAAAAUUAGGUGCUUCAGGGUGAGAAAUUAGGUGAUUCUCGAAGCACCAAAAGUACCAAUUUGAUGCUUCCUCCAAUUUGGGGUUCAAUUGAAACCCUAAUUUGAUGCGGAGGAGAUGUGAG